rnacentral:lncRNA from 1 species
AUGUCAGAGUUUAUCAGCAAAAUGGCAUGCAGCAGUAAUAGUUGCAACAUAGCAACUCACAGCUCAAGAAAAAUCAGAAAGGCUAUGCAAUUACCGAAUGGCAAGCUCACCUAUAUCACAAAACACCUGUCAAGAAGAAUAUUGCAAAAUCAUCAUCCCUCAAGACUUUUAAGGCGGGCUGAAGAAAGCAAUAUUAAAUAUGUAGCAUGAAACUGGCUGAAAAACAGAUAAGCAACAAAUACCAGAGGAUUGCUAAACUGGACAGAAGAGAAUAUAUUCAAGACAUGGACUUAACAUCAUCAAAUGCAUAGGUGAUCCAUCUUCAUAUUUUGUUUUUGAAGUUUUGAGCAGUACAAGUUGUUGAUAAAACUAGUGCGGCUCAGUCUGUUCUAUUUAUUGCUACUGAAUUCAGGCAAACUUAAUAAAUAUAUAUCUAUCAAGCCA